rnacentral:lncRNA from 1 species
ACCAUUUCAGGUGAAAUUGGGUCUGUCCUGGAUCACCUCAAUUCCCUACGAAAUACGACGCCAUCGUUGAAGAUCGAAAUUGAGAGCCUCGGUCUUUUUAUCUCUCUUUGAUUAGGUAAUUGAUGUUGAUUUCAGUUUUUAGGUCUUCUUUGAAGCGAGGAGAUUUAGAUUGUUUGGUCCGAUCGUUUGAUUUCCCCUUGGUUGCCGAGAAAAUUGAAAAUUGAAAAGUAAAGUUUGAAUCUUUUGUUUUGUUUUCCGUUGGGAAGAUCAUCAUCCAACUUCUUAUACUAGGGAAAGUUGACCAGAUUUUUAUUUAUUUUUUAUGGAAUCUCGUAUAGUUCUGUCUGUAUUAGGGCUUGAUUGUGGAAAAGGAGGCUUUGAAUGAUCAGGGUCUUGUUCGAGGAGAUCUACUGUGAGGAUCACGUGUUCAUAAUCUGCUUUUAUUAUUUAGGUUCUGUUUGGCUCUACAGACUUCAGCUGUCUGGUACGGGACAAGAAUUGCCUUGAACGUGCUCGGGAAUUAUUAUUUGGUCGUCAUAUUUGCGUAUAUAUAAAUAUUUGACAUAUACAAUGGAUAUAAUAUUCCCAUAUCAUUAUUUAUGUUAUGGAUGUAAGAGUUUUUUUUCCCCUUUAUAUGUAGCAGUGUAUAUUGUUGUGAAAGUUUGUUCCCCGCCAUUUUUUCUAUUAUUUCUUGUAUGAUAUUUAUCGUCCAUUGAUGUCUGAAAAUUUUAUCUGGGUUUUGAUAAGUUUGUCGUUCGUGUUCUUUGAUUUAUUUUUCUGCUCUUGCUGGUUAGAAUUUGCAAACUUCUGUUCAAUUUAUAUAUUAUAUCGCAGGAAAACCUUGUAUCUUUUCCUUUGUUUUUAAUUAUCUUAGAUUGUUUUUAAUCUUUUUCCUUUUGGGUUUCUUGAGCAGGAACAAUGUCUUUUACACAAACUUACAGAGCGCAAGGAGGCACUUUUCAUGAUAAUUAUAGACCCUCUUUCAUUAGAAACAAAAACAGCAACAGUGCUAACAUUAAUGAUAACCGUAUAAGGAGUUAUAAUCCCCAUGACUUCUCAAGAAAUUUUAGGGAGCGCUCUAAGAAUUAUAAUUAUGUUAAUCAUGAUGCCGCACCCUCCUUGAAAAGGAGAAAAUUUUCAGCUUCUGCUUGGGAAGACACUGGGAGGCGCUAUCAGCAACAAACCACAUAUGACAAUGCCCCUUCAACCUGCAACAGCUUGGUCCCUGCUCCUACAAGACCUAAUGCUAAUGCCUACACAUCUACCAGCUGUAAACGUGAUCGCUCAAAAUUGGAGGAUGAUGAUAUGGUCUUUAUGUCUAGGGAUGAGAUUGAAAGAUGCUCCCCUUCAAGGAAAGAUGGUAUUGAUGCACUUCGUGAAAUGCAUUUGCGGUAUUCAUAUUGUGCUUUUCUUCAGAAUCUUGGACUGCGGCUUGAGUUGUAAGUUCUUUAUGAUGCGUAUGUUUAUUUAUGCUGAUAACUUUCUGAUUAGAUUGUUUGCAUAAUUACUAAAUGGUUCUAAAAACUAUUAGUUGAAGUUAUUUAGUUUAGUUAUUCAUAUAUUCUAAUUUUGGAACUACUUAUCAAAAAAAAAAAAAUUCUAAUUUAACUGUGUUGUGUAUCUUUCAGGCCUCAAACUACUAUUGGAACUGCCAUGGUUUUAUGCCACCGCUUUUUUGUUCGACGUUCGCAUGCUUGCCAUGAUAGAUUUGUAAGUUUCCAGCUUCUUAUGUUUUAAAUUUGAUGGGAUGUGUAUGGUUUAUUGAAUGAUACUCAACAAGAACUCACAAUGACCAUGCUCUUACUUAUUUGUUUGCAAUCCUUGUUCAAUUUACUCAUUGGAUAUUUUUUUUUUCACAUGGAACAAUAAAAUUUGGCAUGGAACUACUUUUUGUUUCUGCUUUAGUUUUGUGGUCUGAUCCCUGUGCCUUAUUGUUUAUGUAUUAUGUAAACCAUAACCUAAGAAAACAAUCAUUUUCUCCCUCCACAGAUAUAAUGCUUAAAAUUAAAUAUGGAAAAACUAGUCACCUUUUCUUUCACCAUUCUUGAUUUUUUUUUUUCAAUUUGGUUUCUAGUCAUUGUCAUUGGCAAAACAACUACCUUCUGUGCCUUGAUGUGACUUUAUGAAUGCAGUGUGUUAAUCUAAUUUACAGUCCGUAAUUCAGAGGAAUAGCGUUAUUACUGAUCUGGCUUUGUUUGCAGUUGAUUGCUACUGCUUCCCUUUUUCUUGCUGCAAAGUCCGAGGAAACACAGCGCCCUUUGAACAAUGUAGUGAGAGCAUCUUGUGAAAUUCUCCAUAAGCUGGACCUUACUUUCUUGUCUUAUCUGCUCCCUGUUGUAAGUAUCUUUGGAACCAUUUUCUUUCACCUGUAGUCUUAUGCAUAUACAUAUACAUAGAUAUAAAACUAAAUAGCUUUGUACUUAUCAAAAAAAAAAAAACUAAAUAGCUUUGUAUGGACUGAAAGAAUUUCUAUUAUAUCAUCUUUUUUGUCUUAACUUUGUUAUGUCUUUUUCUUUACUUCUAGUAUUUUUUUCUCUUCCUUUGGAUGUUGAUAUUUGAUGGUAUAUUUCCCAUGUAUAUUGGUGCAUCUCUUUUGGCAUUUUUUUUAAUGCAUAUACUUGGCUUUCAAAAAAGGAUGUUAUAUGUUGUAAUCAAUUUAAACAGUAAGCUCCUGCAUCGCAUGCAAUUUUAGACUUUAAGUUUUAUAGAGAUUCAAGUGUUUGCAUUUUAUUGCUUUUAUGAAUAUGCAUAAUCCAUGUCCAUGUCUUUUGUCCAGCAUGGAUAUGCAUCCGAAUCCAGAUUGUUGGCUUAAAAGUUGGGACUAAAGCUCUUAGUUUGUGUUCAUAGUGUGCUUUCAUGACAUGAUUUGGAUGUUGAACAGGACUGGUUUGAGCAGUAUCGGGAACGGGUGAUUGAGGCUGAGCAGAUGAUACUGACUACUCUAGAUUUUGAGCUCACUGUGGAGCAUCCAUAUGUUCCUCUUACAUCUGUUCUUAACAAAUUAGGUCUUUCACAAACUGUUUUGGUGAAUUUGGCAUUACACUUGGUCAGUGAAGGGUAAGUAUGCUGCUAUCCUUAUUCUCAAUGUGUUCUUUUAGUGGAUUCUGAGAUUGCAGAUGCAUUGUUUUCUGUAUCAGUGAUUUCAAUAGGGUUAGUGGCAAAAUUAGUUAGCAGAAUCUAGCACAUACUUCCCCUGAUUGUGUACAACAUGAAUCCUUUCCACAUAUCUUACACAGUUAUAGUGGCCAUGUUCUGUUCAGGUACUUUUCUAAUGCGGGCUACUUGUAUUUAGUUCCUAUUUCCAAAGAAUGUGGUUAAAACUAGGAAGAUAGUGUAGGAAUUAGGUAGCAUUCUUGUGUUUAUGAUGAUCAAUCUUUUUUUAUAGAUUUGGACUGGUUGGUGUUGGAAUCUCAAUCAAAUUGCAAAUUUAUUGAGAUUUAAAGGCAGUUAUUAAUGUGGAGGAGGAUAAAUCGGUUAUCUUCUUUGUCCUUGGUUCAAAACUGUGUAUUACUUGUGUCAGUGUUUUGUUCUUUAGAGCUCUGCAUAGUCAUUCUGGAAUGGGAUAUUGAUUAUUUUGGCAUGGCAUAUAAUUGCAGGAUCUACACAAGAUUAGCGUGCUCGCAUCUAUGAUAUUCUUAGCUGGCGGAUUGAUAUGCUGUUCAUGGAAAGUUUUGUUUAUCUGAAGUUGAACUGCUGAUGUGUAGUGGAUGCCUUUAUCAUGAAUUUACUCUGAACCUGGUCACUGGCUAUUGAAGAUAGCCACAAACCCUCAGGACAGUUUUACCAUCCUAAUAUACACCCUUCCUCUUAACAAACUUAUAGUUUGUGAAACCAAUGGCCACUUGUCUACUUAAUGUCCAUUCCUGCAAGUCUGGGAGUCGCCUUGAAUGGGCUUAAAAAAAAAAAAAAAGAAAAGAAAAAUUGGUUUGGGUGAGUUUGGUUUUGAGAAUAUAAAAUGUUUUCCAAUUUUAAAAAAUGGUAGAAAUUUGGUGACAAAUGUUGAAAACUGUUUCAAAAUUUUCGAAAAAAACAGCCUGUUUUCUGGAAGUCUUCCACAUUUUCUUCUUUCUUUGUCUCUCAUUUGUCCCAUUGUUUGUUUAAGAACAGAAACAACUCAAGUUGACUGAUUCCCAAAAGUUUCAAUAGUUUCCAUUCUCAGAAAAGGAAUCACUUUUGAAAACGUUUUUCAAUUAGAUGGGUGCAUAUUUCUAUCCUCGUUCUUUAUGUGAUUUUUAUUGCUGACCCACUUGGACAAGGAAUAUGGUCGGAUAUCUAGGGAGAUUUUCUAGUUUAGCUAAGGCUUGUUUCUGAAAUACCCAAAAAUUUUGAAUUGUUAUUUUGCUUCAAAUCCUACCUUGAUUUUGUAACUUUGCAUAUCCCAAAUAUUUGGAAUUUUCUGUUGGGUUUUAAUUAGGACUAACUGUGUCCAUGAAUUAGCAUUAAAAAUUUAAAUCCUUGGUCCAGGAGUUGCUGUUAGACAUAGGAGUGUCUGCAAUUCAGAAACUGCCAGAGUUGAGCACUAUUAUCUUUGCUAAUUUUGGUUUUGUUGCCUUGUCUGGAAAUGAAACUAGUGGCCCUAAAAAGUUGAUGUGCUGGUGGACAUUAGGGAUAGCCUUUCUUUUUUUGAUAAGUAAGCAAAGAGAAUAUAUUAUUUAUAAUUAAUAGAUGCACAGUGGACAACUUAGAUAGCUUCUCUAGAACUAUUUUUGAGUUGGCUGCAAGAAACCUUUUCUGUUGCUUACUUUUUAUUGAGGAGAAAUCUACUACUAUAACAUCAUUACUGAAAAUUCUAGAUCUACCUAUCCUACAAGAUGUGUUUUCUUUUGUGCUUAAUUUAAUUGGGUAUUUUUUAUUAGGGAUGUGAGCCCUAACCAAUUAUAUGAAGACUGGUGGGAAAUUAUGGGUAGCAGUUGCCAUUUAGAUUGAGUGGCCUGUAGACCAUUUAAGUGAUGUAUAGUGAUGAUCUUUAUCUUUAUCCACAUUACUAGGUUGCACUUCUUUAGUUCUUUUUCUCUUUUAAAUAUAUUCCUUUAUACCAAUUUUUCACUGGUAUUUCUUCUUUCAGUUUCCUCAUAUUGCUUUUCCUCCUCCCCACGCUAAACAAUCUCGACAAUAUAAGUUUUUGUGGAUAAGCCAUAAGAUUUAUUCUGUCAUUUUUCAACUUUAUUGGUUCUUUCCAGCCUUCUGUUGGUAUCAUAGAAUGGGUAAGAAAGAGUAAGUAAAGGAUGUGUCUCUAUGUUAUAUUUUUGCUGUCGGCUUUGCUUGGCCUUUAUGCUCUGGCAGCUGGAUUACCUUUUUGGUACCUAAUCCCUGGAUGUUUCCUAAGCAGUUAUUGCGACCAUACAUGGCAAUACCUGCAAACCUUAUUUUACAAGUCUACUGAUUAUUACUGCUUUCUCCUUAUUCUGAUUAGUAUUUCAGUAUUUAUGUUGAAAGAAUAAAAAAGUGCCGGACCUUUUUUACUGGGAAUUUGUUGCUAUACCUAUCCCUACCCUUUUUUAUAAGUAAAUUUUAAACUAUUUUUUUCCUUUUUCUUUUCUAUAAUUUAUUUGUGUAUAUGUUUAUUUUCAUGGAUAAACAUUAUGUGCUUAUUACUAUAAAUUUUUUAAAUGUCUAAGCUUCACUUUUGGUACUACCUGGGCUCCUAUUCUGUGUGUUCUUUCCCUUCCCCUCUUAACUAAGAUAAUACUUUGGAAAAUGUACACUUGUUCAAUUCAUUUGGAACUAAAUGAAAAUGAACAUUAUAUUUGAUAUAAUCUCUCGUACGAUAUGUACUUGUAUUUUGUAAAUUGUACUUAACGGCUCAUAAAUCAUGAUACUAUUGCAUCUAUAGCCAUGUUGCAAAAUGUGCUAUAAGUUUGUUAACCUUAGGCAAUCAACAUUUACUUAUAGAGCUUAAAACACAAAGUGGACUAUGAAGGAUUGAAGUCCAAUAGGCUAACACAUAAUAUGGCAUUAUGUAUUGCAAAAUUUGAAUAGCCAGGAGCACGUUAUGCCAAAAAACCCAAAAGAACAGUAAGCACUAAAUUCGUACUGUACUUACAAGUAUAUCAUUUGUUUUAUUUGUUGUAGCCAGUGCAUCUCUCAAACUUACCUUGACAAUCUUCAUCUUUAUUCUUUUGGUUUUCAAUGUCAGUUAUGUUCUUACCAUUAUUAUCUGCUCCUACCACCAGUGCCUCGUGGUCAUGAGGGCCUUUUUGUUUUUGUUUGUUUGUUUUAAGGAAAAGAAAAGAAAAGAAAAACAAAAAAAAAGCAACUACUGAACUUCUAAAGCCUGUAUGUAUUGAGAAGUUUUCUUCUUCCACUUUUUUUUUUCUUCUCAUUUUGUUCCUUUGUUUUUUUCUUUUCUCUCUCUUUGUUUUUUUCUUUUUUUGUCAUUUUUUGGUUAACAGGUUAAAUGUCAUUUUCUUUGUUCAUACUAGCAUGCUGAAUAUGGAAGUCAUAUUUGCCCUCCACAUAUUCGCAUCCCUCAAAACAAUCUUAAGUUAUAUAUCAUUAUAUUAUAUUCAGCAUAGUGUAGCUUCACAUUUUUAUUUCACAUGUGUCAUGCAUGUGUUUACCAAGUCUGACCUCCAGCUAUGGUUUUUGGGUACGGGACUGUCUGUCUUUGGGAUGUUGAGAUUUGAGUCCUGAAGGGUUGCAACAUAUUAAGCACCUCAUCAUAUGCGGCAUCAUCAGCAUCAUUUUAUUUAACCUGAAGCUCUUAUUAUUUCUGAGUGGUAUCCUUUUGGAUUUUCAAAGAAAAUCCCUAUUAAUCCUCCUCGCUUGGAAGGAUGCUUGUAUGAAAAGCUAGGGUUGGUUUGAGUGGAUUCCUUCCAUGCUUCUCAAGCAAAUAUUCAGAAAACCACCUACAUUGACACUGAGAACUUUCUGAUGCAUGUUACCAAUGCAAUCUUUUAGUAUCCUAAAAGAGUAACUUACAGGAGUAUAAUGGUGCUUACAACUUAGAGCAUUGAUUUUAUGCCUGCUUAUGGCUUCUGGUGGUCUUUGGUGGCAUGCUAUUCUAUAGUGGGGAUUACGUACAUGAAUGUCUUUUAGCUUGAAAGCAUGCAUAUCAGCAAAGUCUCUGCAGAUUGAACUGUUGGGUGGACGAUACUGGCAUUUGCCUUUCAAGAAGUGUUUGCUUGCAAUGAAUUCCUCUUUCCUAGUUGCUUUAUCUUUUGAAUUGCAUGUGUUUCUGGAGUUGGGAAUACCCUGCAGCAGAACUGGGCCUGGGAGUUGAUGUGUUCUCUAGAUGGGUAUAAGAUGUUUGCUAGUAUUUUGGUACUGUUAUCAGCAAUAUCUGCAGACGAAUCUUGGAAAAUAUUCCACCUGGGUUGCUGCAUUUUUAGUUGGUAAGAAGAAAAAAAUGCUUUGCUUGCUUUCUUUACUUGAAACCAAUGUUUGAUAUGUUGUCUUAGCUUUUUGGUUUUAUGCUCUAUACCUAUGUUUAGUAUUUGAAAGCUGAUGUGAUUUGUGUUGGCAUUAUGCUAAGUUCUACAAGACAUUGCCUGUUCAUUUUAGUGUUGCCCGAGAUGGUUGGUUUGUUAACUAUCCAUGGAUUUCUCCAACUCUGAAUAAUAGGUUUAUUUAUUUUCAUAUGGCCUUCUAAAGUCAAACCAAUGUUUUGCAGGCUGCGAAGCUCUCUGUGGCUUCAGUUCAAACCACAUCAUAUUGCUGCGGGGGCAGCCUACCUUGCUGCCAAGAUCCUAAAUUUGGAUGUUGCUUCUUACCAGUAUAUCUGGCAGGAGUUCCAAACAACGCCAGCUAUUCUUCAAGGUAGUUGGCACUAUUUUGAAUAUCAUGUGAAUGUUCAAGAUUUUACGUUAAUUUUAUAUUUGCCAAUAGUCUUGGUUCUUAGUAUUUUAUUAUGAACCUCAUUGCAUUGCUCCCACCUUUUUAACAGUCUGUUGAUCCUUUGAUGCAGAUGUUGCGCAGCAGUUGAUGGAGCUAUUUUAGUUUCUACGCAGAUUCAGUUCACCAGUUGAUUGAGCUCUUUUAAAAGAUUACACAGUAGACUAGGCUUCAGGAAUGAAUGUUUCAUGUUAGAUAUGGGUAUUAUAUUCAUUGUUUUUUAAUGCCGUGUUUGUAACCAAUGAUUGGAAAAUCAUCAGUGUUGUCCAGGUUAUAACAUGAGAGAAGCGCUAUUCAUGAGAGAGAGAGAGUAGUAGAUUAGAUAUCUUUGUUUCAGCACUUCCUCUAGAAGUACAGGUCCAAAGAGUGUAAUUCGAAUAGACAGGCAUGAACUUUCUGUUGAGUGGUCAUCUAAUGGAAUAACAAAACUCUUCUGUUUCUCAUGGCCGUCUGUUUUUUCUACUGCUCAUCCUUUCUUGUUCUAAAUAAGAUCACGGGUCUAAGGUGUCUAUUUGCUUUUGAGUAUGUGAUUCUGAGGAAGGUUAGAAGUGCUUUUAAAUGUUUUGAAGUCCUUUUUUUUUCAACAAAAAUCUGGAGUAGUACCUGCUUAUGUGCUUUUUUUAGAAGUUACUUUUCUAGUAUUACUAAUAAAAGCAAUACUGAAAUCUCUAUUGAAGCAUUACUAAUAGAUGUAAUAGUACUGGCUUCGGAGGUUGAAUCUCGUGGGUGGGUGGGUGGGUGGGUGGGUGGGGUGCGGUGUGGUGAGGAGAGAGGGAUUCAAUUGUUGUACAAUACUUUGAGCCGAAGCUUAUAGAGAAAAUGCUAGUUUNNNNNNNNNNNNNNNNNNNNNNNNNNNNNNNNNNNNNNNNNNNNNNNNNNNNNNNNNNNNNNNNNNNNNNNNNNNNNNNNNNNNNNNNNNNNNNNNNNNNGGGGGGGGGGGGGGGGGGGUUGGGGGGGUGAGUGGGGUUUGAAAAUCUUUAUGCAUGAUCUGUUUUUCAAUUACACAUUUCUUUUUUUAUUUUUGUUAGCUUUUAUGAGUUUUUUCAUUUGAAAAAUAAGGGUAUGUUUGGUAACUGAUUUUUGGAAUAGUUUUUUAGUUUUUAUAACAGAAAAACAAGAAAACCCAUUUGAUAAUCAUAAAUUGUUUUUUAUUCUCAAGAAUAGGAAAUAUGAUAUUUUUAUAUAUGCAUUUUUAAUUGUUUAAUAUUAUUUAUAAAUUUACCCUUAUUUAUUUGGUUACGUGUAUAAUAUUUUCAUCCAUCAAAACUAAUAUCGGCCUAUAAAAAUGGCACAAUGUUGAUAUUUAAGAAAAUUGUUUGAUUUUAAACCCCAAUUCUUUUUGGCACACCCUAAAAUGAAAGUGUAUAAUUUUACUGUUUUCGGCUCUAUUUCCUUUUAUAAGAAGUUUUGGAAAGGAAAAUGGACAGAAUCCGCCCAUGGUGCUUUUAUUGCUUUAAAAAAAUAUAUGAAAAUAUUGUUUCUUUAAAAGGGAUGCCAUUGGUUAUGACCAUUUUCUAUUCAUAGAAAAUACAAGUGUUGACAAUCAGCCUGACAAAUAUUGAAUAUGAGGUUAAUUUCAGAAAAUUGUUUAACCUAUAUAUUUAAAAUAUCCCAAAAAAUAAAUUUUAUAAAUAUAAUAAAUUUAUAUAAAUUCUAAUAGAUGAAAUUCAAAAUUAAUAAUAAUUAGAUGUAUUCACGUUCGAGUUUGAAUAAAAUUAAUCUUAAAAUUAAAAUUUUUCUUGGGUAGGUAUAAAAAGGGUAUCAUGGUAUCGUGUUGGGAUUGGUUUUUUUGUUUCUAGGUCAUCUCGAAAGGGAGAAAGAAAGAAGUAAACAAGCCUUCCUAUUGUGGGAUGGUCAAAGAACGUGGCGCUGUCAAAGAGCACUACAGCAUCCCAUCGGUAGCUCCAGAAUUCAAACAGAGUUUUUGUCAUAAUAAUAAUGUAAUUAAUGGUUUUAAUGAUAAAGAUAACUACAUAUCCAAAUCACUGAAAACGCCAAAUAAGGAGACGCCUAUCUCAACCAUAUAUGCCAUGAUCUUCCUUGGCUAGCGUGCCAAUCCAUUUCCUUCUCUCUCUAAAUUUCCCGAGACACAAACAGAGGCGUGUGCGCCUUGCUUCACUUCACUACCAACCAAGAGAUCGUCUUUCCCGGAUAAUUCCAUGGAGUCUGCACCACAACGUCGCCUGACGGCUAUACAGACACAACUCAUCGCCACCGCCGGCGACGACCGCUCGCAUUCACAGCUCCUUACCAAUCAAACCGCCGGCGAGUUCGUUUCCGGUAAUAUCCCGGUUUCUCCAUUUAGAUUUCUCUUUCUGUGUCUCGAGUUGUUGCUUCUAUAUGUGAAGGUCCGCUUUAUAUGCCAUGUUUGGUGAAUAGUACGUUAUGUUGUCUCCAGUGAUGCUAUUGGUUUGGUAUAAUGCUAGGGUUUUAGGGGUGGGUCAAUCCUGAUCUCAUUGGUUGGGUCGUGCGUAUGAAAAACUAGUACUGUAGAUAUUGGUAAUCAUUGGUUGGGCUAUGGCGACUAUUUUAGAGUUUUUGGGAACCGAUUGAACCAAGAUUGAUGUUAUUGGGGGGAGGGCAGGACGAAUGCGUGGCUGGAAGAGAAAAAGUUAGGGGCAAUAAUAGAUGGAGCACUUCACUUUUCCCUGAUAGGCUAAGGGGCAACUUUGCCUUUAUGGUGGGAUGUUCUUAUGUCUUAUAUUUUGUUCAGGGAGGUAAAAUGCGGGGUUUUCGUAGUGUACUCAUCUUUUGUAACUCGAUUAGGGCUUAUUUGACAUAUUUGACUAUUACAGGAUUGGACUCCAUCUUUACCUUUCUUUGGGUAAUCCUCCACCAUAGGAAAAGUAACUUCUUAGGAACGGUACACUCUAAAGCAGGAGAGUUUGUUUAUUGGUUCACUCUCUCUUGUGUACGGUAGAGAUGAUGACAACUGAGGGGGACAAAUGUAAAAUAUAUGACAAGAACAUGUUGUGUUAGAGGGAUUAAUAUAAUUCGUAAGGAGUCUAAUGUGAAAUUUGCAAUAUUAAGAGGUUUUGGUGGUUGAUUCUCCAUAGCUUUUAGUUAGGUAUUACAAGGACCUAUAGAAAUCUGUUACCACAUGAAUUUUAUCUCGAGGGUUAAGUCUUCAUUAUAGUGUAGUCUGUUACCAUUUAUUGUUUUCUUGUUAGUAGAUGGUCGAGUUGGAAGGCAGGGUUCUCAAUGAAAAAGAAAUGGAUACCUUUACUCUUAGACAUAUCUUAUCUUUUUUUUCAUUGUAAUGUUUUAGAUUGGAACAGACCAUUCCUUGUGCAAUGACAACAAUAAUGCCUUGGGCUGGCAGUCAUCAAUAGGGGGGCUUUGAGUCUCAAAAAUGGCCUCCUUGUGCAACACUGCUAGAGUUGGGAUCAUAUCCAACUCGCCUUUCCCAAUCACCACUUAAUGGCCCUUUAUGUUUUAGAUUAGAUGUUAUAUGUUCAUAAUGAUGGUAAACAACCAUUUCCUCAAUAUGUUUGGGCAUAACUUAGGGUACUUCUUCUGGAUCUGUGGUUCAUGAAGUUAAGUGGAGAUCUACCAGUGAGAAAUGAUGUGUUGGGGAAGUUGCAGAUACUGGUAGAUCCUUUAAUAUGAUCAUACAAAUGGACUUUAGUGAACGUUUCAGGGAAUUGGGUCUUACAGGGAUACAUGAGGGUGAAUAAGUCUUGUACUGGUCACUGUUACAGGGGAGUGGCAGUUUUUCUUCAUAUUCCUCAGCACAUUGCAUGGGAAUGGGAAAGAGUGAAAUCGGGAACUUAGGAUAAAUUGUCUGCAUUUGAUUAACUUCUUUUUCUGACAUCCUUCAUUCUUUAUUUUUAAUUUUUAAUAACUUUAGAUUGACUUCUUUAUCUGGGUCCAUUUGGGAGUUAUUCUUCAAGGGUUAGAAGCGCUCCCUAAUGUUUGGAAGCAUUUUCUUUACAAAAAUUAUGUGUUUGGCAAAAAUUUAAUUCAAUUUUUUUUUAUGUGUAAAAUGAGAGUAUUGUAUAAAAAGAGUGUGAAAAUGAGUGCAGCGAAGUACAUUAGACAUAUAUAAUGAUCAUCAAAAAGCGUAAACAAAAAGUAAAAGGGACAAUAAAAACUACUUCCUCACUUAAUAAAAAUCCAACCAAUCAACAAAGUCAAUUAAGAACAUUGGGCCUUCAUCUAUAGACAACUUGGUCCAAGAUAGCAAAUUACAAAAAAAAAAAAAAAAAGCUUUUUAGCCUUUGGUAAGAAAGUUCUCUGUUUUUAAACAAUCUUCUAUUCGUCUCCUUUUAAUUUUUCUAAAAAAGGCACAAAUGAGUUGCUUCCCACACUUUUUUUAGUUUCUUCACAACAAAGGAACCAUACCAUCUUAAGAAGGCCUUUCUAAUGAAGGAAGAUAACACCUAAGACACGUCAAAAAGAGAAAAUAAUAGCUGCCGCAAAACCUUCGUCUUGCCACAAUGAAGAAGGAUGUGAUCAAUUGAUUCCUCAUAGAUAUCGCAAAGGAAACAUUUAUUAGCCAAUGUCCAACCUCUUCUUUGAAGUUCAUCCAAGGUCAAAAUUUUUUCCACAAAGACAAAGAAAAUAAGGAAGCUAGAUAAAGUGCUCUGGAUUAGAGUGAGUCUUAUCUUUUGCAAAUAUAUUGCCUUUUCCACAUUGCCAAUCUUUUACAAACCUCAAUUCCUCCUUAUUCCAAAUUGCAAGUAUUAUAAGGGCACCUAAGGAAAGAAGAGGUUGGACAUUGACUAAUAGAGGUUGGACAUAGGCCGCGAGUAUUAGCUAAUGACCUUCUUCCAUUUGCAUUAGCCGUUUUGAGAAAGAAAUUAGUAUUUCUAUCGCCUUCCUUUAACCAUGCCUCCCUUGAUUUCUACCUCUAAGAAGUUUCUUGCAUAAGAGCCCAUUUACGAUACUCCGCCCUUGCUUCCAACCUCGCAUCCACCUCUUCUUGAGAUAAAGCACUUGUUCUCCCCUUAGAAUCCUAGAAACCCACUUAGGGAAGAACCAAUUCCUUUCUAACUAUAACAUUACCAAAAUCCUCUUUGUUGCAACUUUUCAAAUUAGACUUUAAAGCGUUCAAUUUCAUUGCCAAGAUGAAACUAUAAGGUCCCCCUUAAAGCUGAACCCCAACCACCAUCUCUUUAGAAUAUCUUUGAAAGCCCUUUUCCUUAAGCCACAUAUUUUGAAUCUAAAUGGAGCAAAACUUCUCCUCAACUCUAUCUCCAUCUAACAAAAUGGGGCGAAUGAUCCAAUACAGGUUUGGGUAAGAUNNNNNNNNNNNNNNNNNNNNNNNNNNNNNNNNNNNNNNNNNNNNNNNNNNNNNNNNNNNNNNNNNNNNNNNNNNNNNNNNNNNNNNNNNNNNNNNNNNNNCCCCCACCCCCCUUUUUUUAGAAUUUUUUUGAAACCCCUUUUUCUUUACCCCAAUUUUUGGAAUUUAAAAGGGACAAAAUUUUCUC